CUCUUACUACUCGUCUCCACCACCACCCCAUUCUCACAUUUCCUUCAAUUUCUGCCCGGUUAUAAAAAAAUCGCAACCAAACUAAAAAAAAUGGCGAUCAAAAAAUCAAACAAGCUUUCCCAAGCAGCGGUGUUGAACCAAAUCAUGAAGAGGUGUUCUUACUUGGACAAAUCGACAUUUGUUUAUGGGUUUUAUGUGAGUUUUCUUCAAGUAAUGAGAAUUAAUCGUUUUUGAUCAUUUUUUUAGUUUGGACUAAAGAAGAAGACCACCGUCUCAUCAAUUACAUACGCUCCCAUGGCGAGGGCUGCUGGCGUUCCCUCCCCAAAGCAGCAGGAUUGCUUAGAUGCGGCAAGAGCUGCAGAUUGAGGUAGAUUAAUUACUUGGGACCUGACCUAAAAAGAGGCAAUUUCACUGAUGAAGAAGAUGACAUCAUCAUCAAACUCCAUAGCUUGGUUGGAAAUAACUGGAAGAUUGCCUGGAAGAACAGACAAUGAGAUCAAGAAUUACUGAAAACACAUAUUAAACUCAAUUGAUAACACCAAAUGCAGCAGCAGCACAACGGAAGAGUCCCAGCCACCGGCGCCCCUGCCUCCGCCGAAUUAAUCAUUUUUUUAGUUUGGUUGCGAUUUUUUUAAAAUCGGGCAAAAAUUGAAGGACUGUGAUGAAGGGGCAGAAAUUGAAGGAAAUGUGAGAAUGGGGUGGUGAUGGAGACGAGUAGAGAGAGAAACAGAGAGGGGGGAGAAGAGGAUAUAUGAGCACGUGUUUAAUAUUCCGGCUAAAAUCGCCUGAAAAUUCCACUUUAGAGGCACCGUGCAAUAAAAUAACGAGUUCAGGUAAAAACGUGCAACUUUUU